rnacentral:tRNA from 1 species
GGUUGUGGCUCAGUGGCAGAGCACUUGCCUAGUAUGUGUGAGGCCUUGGGUUCAAUCAUCAGCACCA